rnacentral:rRNA from 1 species
AUUGAACGCUGGCGGCAGGCCUAACACAUGCAAGUCGAACGAGUGGCGGACGGGUGAGUAAUGUCUGGGAAACUGCCUGAUGGCGGGGGAUAACUACUGGAAACGGUAGCUAAUACCGCAUACCAUGGGAUGUCCCCAGAUGGGAUUAGCUGGUAGGUGGGGAACGGGCUCCCCUGGGCGACGAGCCCUAGCUGGUCUGAGAGGAUGACCAGCAACACUGGAACUGAGACACGGUCCAGACUCCUACGGGGGGCAGCAGUGGGGAAUAUUGCACAAGGGGCGCAAGCCUGAUGCAGCCAUGCCGGGUGUAUGAAGAAGGCCUUCGGGUUGUAAAGUACUUUCAGCGGGGAGGCGUUACCCGCAGAAGAAGCACCGGCUAACUCCGUGCCAGCAGCCGCGGUAAAC